GGCCCUUCGGGGUACACGAGCGGCGAACGGGUGAGUAACACGUGGGUAACCUGCCCCGUACUCUGGGAUAAGCCUGGGAAACUAGGUCUAAUACCGGAUAUGACUCCGCAUCGCAUGGUGUGGGGUGGAAAGUUCCGGCGGUACGGGAUGGGCCCGCGGCCUAUCAGCUUGUUGGUGGGGUGAUGGCCUACCAAGGCGACGACGGGUAGCCGGCCUGAGAGGGUGACCGGCCACACUGGGACUGAGACACGGCCCAGACUCCUACGGGAGGCAGCAGUGGGGAAUAUUGCACAAUGGGCGAAAGCCUGAUGCAGCGACGCCGCGUGAGGGAUGACGGCCUUCGGGUUGUAAACCUCUUUCAGCAGGGACGAAGCGCGAGUGACGGUACCUGCAGAAGAAGCACCGGCUAACUACGUGCCAGCAGCCGCGGUAAUACGUAGGGUGCGAGCGUUGUCCGGAAUUAUUGGGCGUAAAGAGCUCGUAGGCGGUUUGUUGCGUCGGCCGUGAAAACUUCACGCUUAACGUGGAGCCUGCGGUCGAUACGGGCAGACUUGAGUUCGGCAGGGGAGACUGGAAUUCCUGGUGUAGCGGUGAAAUGCGCAGAUAUCAGGAGGAACACCGGUGGCGAAGGCGGGUCUCUGGGCCGAUACUGACGCUGAGGAGCGAAAGCGUGGGGAGCG
rnacentral:rRNA from 1 species